GACGAACGCUGGCGGCGUGCUUAACACAUGCGAGUCGAACGGAAAGGCCCUGCUUUUGUGGGGUGCUCGAGUGGCGAACGGGUGAGUAACACGUGAGUAACCUGCCCUUGACCUUGGGAUAACUUCAGGAAACUGGGGCUAAUACCGGAUAGGAGCUCCUGCUGCAUGGUGGGGGUUGGAAAGUUUCGGCGGUUGGGGAUGGACUCGCGGCUUAUCAGCUUGUUGGUGGGGUAGUGGCUUACCAAGGCUUUGACGGGUAGCCGGCCUGAGAGGGUGACCGGCCACAUUGGGACUGAGAUACGGCCCAGACUCCUACGGGAGGCAGCAGUGGGGAAUAUUGCACAAUGGGCGGAAGCCUGAUGCAGCAACGCCGCGUGCGGGAUGACGGCCUUCGGGUUGUAAACCGCUUUCGCCUGUGACGAAGCGUGAGUGACGGUAAUGGGUAAAGAAGCACCGGCUAACUACGUG
rnacentral:rRNA from 1 species